GUGGGGAAUAUUGGACAAUGGGCGAAAGCCUGAUCCAGCCAUGCCGCGUGUGUGAAGAAGGUCUUCGGAUUGUAAAGCACUUUAAGUUGGGAGGAAGGGCAGUAAGCUAAUACCUUGCUGUUUUGACGUUACCGACAGAAUAAGCACCGGCUAACUCUGUGCCAGCAGCCGCGGUAAUACAGAGGGUGCAAGCGUUAAUCGGAAUUACUGUGCGUAAAGCGCGCGUAGGUGGUUCGUUAAGUUGGAUGUGAAAGCCCCGGGCUCAACCUGGGAACUGCAUCCAAAACUGGCGAGCUAGAGUACGGUAGAGGGUGGUGGAAUUUCCUGUGUAGCGGUGAAAUGCGUAGAUAUAGGAAGGAACACCAGUGGCGAAGGCGACCACCUGGACUGAUACUGACACUGAGGUGCGAAAGCGUGGGGAGCAAACAGGAUUAGAUACCCGUGUAGUCC
rnacentral:rRNA from 1 species